rnacentral:rRNA from 1 species
GCCUAACACAUGCAAGUCGAGCGAUCUUCUUCGGAAGAGAGCGGCGGACGGGUGAGUAACGCGUGGGUAACCUGCCUCAUACACAUGGAUAACAUACCGAAAGGUAUGCUAAUACAAGAUGAUAUAAGAGAUUCGCAUGGAUUUCUUAUCAAAGCUCCGGCGGUAUGAGAUGGACCCGCGUCUGAUUAGCUAGUUGGUAAGGUAAUGGCUUACCAAGGCUUCGAUCAGUAGCCGACCUGAGAGGGUGAUCGGCCACAUUGGAACUGAGACACGGUCCAAACUCCUACGGGAGGCAGCAGUGGGGAAUAUUGCACAAUGGGCGAAAGCCUGAUGCAGCAACGCCGCGUGAGCGAUGAAGGCCUUCGGGUCGUAAAGCUCUGUCCUCAAGGAAGAUAAUGACGGUACUUGAGGAGGAAGCCCCGGCUAACUACGUGCCAGCAGCCGCGGUAAUACGUAGGGGGCUAGCGUUAUCCGGAUUUACUGGGCGUAAAGGGUGCGUAGGUGGUUUCUUAAGUCAGGAGUGAAAGGCUACGGCUUAACCGUAGUAAGCUCUUGAAACUGGGAAACUUGAGUGCAGGAGAGGAAAGUGGAAUUCCUAGUGUAGCGGUGAAAUGCGUAGAUAUUAGGAGGAACACCAGUAGCGAAGGCGGCUUUCUGGACUGUAACUGACACUGAGGC